UUUCACUGUGCUGUACUGCUGCUCUGAUGGCAGGGCUGUGGCAGAAGGGCCAGAGACAGGCAAGCAGGCUAUUGUUAGAAGGUAUUCAGAGCUGUGCUUAAUUUUGGAAAACAGUACUGUGAUAAUGGAGCACUUUUUCCUUCAAAUUAGAAUUUGAGGAAGGUAUAAAACCAAUAUUCUGGAAUCAACCCAGGAAA